GAGAGAGAGAGAGAGAGAGUAAUUACAAUGUGCAUGUAAUUGUUAUUGAUUGCCUUGCUUCCAUGAACCAUAUAUAUAUUUCAAUAAUGCCACAUUGCACUAGAAAUAUUGCUGACAAAGAUGUUGAGAGAGAUCAUGGAGAGAGAGAGAGAGAGAGAGAGAGAGAGAGAGAGAGAGAGAGUGAGAGAGAGAGAGAGAGUAUGAAAAGCCAUAACAAAUUUUAUAGUUAUAGGUCAUUUCCCACUUAAUGAGUUGUUAUAGCUGUUAUCAUGGUAAUGUUUUGACCAUGUCUCAGAUACUGCAUGUGCCCAUAAAAAAGUGUAAUCUAGGACACACCCUUUUGUUUUGAUAAUGACAGCAUUUAGCUUUGUAAUGAUAGCUAGUGUAUUUUUUUCUUCUUAUCUACAAAUUUACAUGCGGCUUCCAGAUGAUCUGAAGAUCAGGAAUAUAGAAAAUAUUGUCAAUUUCAUAUUGCUAAUGACCCAGUCAAGUCUGCUGAAGCCCAGAAGUUUCCAGACCAUGACAUUAAUGAAUAUUUCUUGAAUGGAAUGCAUGAGGAUUAAAAUGGAACCUUAUUCUGCCUUUUUACCAACUCACACCAUCUUUUCAAGAUUUAUGGAGCCAACCACAGAAGAAUUUGUUCUAUGCACAUCAUUCAUAACAUUCUUAUUUAUGUUGCAUAACUUUAAAUGUUACUGGAUGAAUUGUGUUCACAUAAUGAAUACCAGCAAACUUUUUAUCGAGUGCACUUAUUUUGUAUUUUUCCUACCCAUCCAUCUAACAUAUGUUUUUAUAUAACAUAUUCAUAUACAUGUAACAUUUUUGGAAACAGCUAUUUUUUUGAAAUUGGAAUUUAGCCUUACUAUUUUAUACAAGUUUUAUUUAAUAUACUCUUUUGUAUACAAACAGAACAAAAAUACUUAGUUACAAUGGGAAAUGGACAUAAUAUAUAUAAAAGUGUCUGAUAAAUGUAUAGGUCUUGUUCAUGAACAGAAGAAAUUGACAGAAAAAAUAUUCAGUUUUAGCCAUGAAAUACAAAUAUUAAUAUUUUUUAAGAAUAUUAUUUAAUCUAAAUAAGAUAUAAAAGUUUUUUCCCCUUUAUUCCAAUGUUUGGAAACAAAUCCAAUAUAUAAUUGAAAUUGCUGUACAGUAUAUCCUAUUGAUUCCUAUAAUAUAUCACUUUAGUUUCUUGAACAGCAUGUUUAUUACUUUUUUUUCUUAAAAUGAUGUAUACAAGGUCAUUAAUUUAUUUUCAUUAUAUUCAACUAGAUACAAAUAGGCCUUCUGCAACUUUUUCAUUGUUUAAAUGGUAUCGAGUGUUAAUUACCUUUCAUAUGAAAAAUGAUAUCUAAAUCUUAAAUUGCUGUACAUUAUAUCCUAUCCAUCUAAUGUAUCACUUUAUUUAUGUUGAACUUCGUGUCUAUUAGUAUUAUGAUCUUUUUAGAAUGAUAUAUGCAAUUUCAUUAAUUUAUUUUUCAUUUUAAGAAAAUUCAUUUUAAAAAAGAUCUCUUACAACCUGUGUAAUUUUUUUUUCAGUUUACAUAACACAGUGUAUUAAUUGAAUGUAGCUGUGUAGAUUUAUACAUGUACCUACAAGCAAUAUACAUUUAAUAUUCACCAGGUACAUGUACCAGCCUACUAUAUUUGAUAAUUAAAUGUACUUCUUUCAUGCAUUUUACUCAUUGUUAUAUGUAUUAUUUAUAAUUAAAAUACUUUGAAAACUU